UACGGAGGGUGCAAGCGUUUAUCCGGAUUUACUGGGUUUAAAGGGUGCGUAGGUGGGUAGGUAAGUCAGUGGUGAAAUCUUCAAGCUUAACUUGGAAACUGCCAUUGAUACUAUUUAUCUUGAAUACUUUGGAGGUAAGCGGAAUAUGUCAUGUAGCGGUGAAAUGCUUAGAUAUGACAUAGAACACCAAUUGCGAAGGCAGCUUACUACACAGUAAUUGACACUGAGGCACGAAAGCGUGGGGAUCAAACAGGA
rnacentral:rRNA from 1 species